rnacentral:rRNA from 1 species
GAUGAACGCUGGCGGCGUGCCUAAUACAUGCAAGUCGAGCGAACGGACGUGAAGCUUGUUUCUCUGAUGUUAGCGGCGGACGGGUGAGUAACACGUGGAUAAUCUACCUAUAAGACUGGGAUAACUUCGGGAAACCGGAGCUAAUACCGGAUGAUAUUUUGAACCGCAUGGUUCAAAAGUGAAAGACGGUCUUGCUGUCACUUAUAGAUGGAUCCGCGCUGCAUUAGCUAGUUGGUAAGGUAACGGCUUACCAAGGCAACGAUGCAUAGCCGACCUGAGAGGGUGAUCGGCCACACUGGAACUGAGACACGGUCCAGACUCCUACGGGAGGCAGCAGUAGGGAAUCUUCCACAAUGGGCGAAAGCCUGACGGAGCAACGCCGCGUGAGUGAUGAAGGUCUUCGGAUCGUAAAACUCUGUUAUUAGGGAAGAACAUAUGUGUAAGUAACUGUGCACAUCUUGACGGUACCUAAUCAGAAAGCCACGGCUAACUACGUG